rnacentral:SRP_RNA from 1 species
GCCGGGUGCAGUGGCGUGCGCCUGUAAUCCAAGCUACUGGGAGGCUGAGACUGGCGGACCGUUUGAGCUCAGGGGUUCUGGGCUGUAGCGGACUAUGCCGAUCGGGUGUCCGCACUAAGUUCGGUAUCGAUAUGGUGCUCCUGGGGGAGCCCGGGACCACCAGGUUGUCUAAGGAGGGGUGCAUCGACCCAGGCCGGAAACGGAGCAGGUCAAAGCCCCCGUGCCGAUCAGUAGUGGGAUCGCGCCUGUGAAUAGACGCUGCAGUGCAGCCUGAGCAAAAUAGCGGGACCCAGUCUUUU